rnacentral:rRNA from 1 species
UACGUAGGGUGCAAGCGUUAAUCGGAAUUACUGGGCGUAAAGCGUGCGCAGGCGGUUAUGCAAGACAGAUGUGAAAUCCCCGGGCUCAACCUGGGAACUGCAUUUGUGACUGCAUAGCUGGAGUGCGGCAGGAGGGGGAUGGAAUUCCGCGUGUAGCAGUGAAAUGCGUAGAUAUGCGGAGGAACACCGAUGGCGAAGGCAAUCCCCUGGGCCUGCACUGACGCUCAUGCACGAAAGCCGUGGGGAGCAAACAGG